GAUCAACGUCCUCCUAUAAAUGUAAUGAGAUGACAAAAAUACCAAAAACACAAAGAAAAUGAAAAUGGAAAAAUAAGGUUAAAGAGUAAGCAACGAAGCUAGAAAGCAAGAAACUAGGAGGAAUCGGUAAGGCAACAUCCAUCGUUUCUUUGAUAAUUUCUCGUGUUGAAGCAGUCGAUGAUUCUCCUCCAUGGGUCUUUCGAAGAUAGAAACUUCUGCUACCAAGUUCCCCAAUUAUAUCUUUCCGAUCAAGACCUAAGCAAAUGAUAUAAAAUGAUAACUCAAUUGGCGUUUUCUCAAAUUUCAAUGAGAGUAUGGUAAAUUAAGAAAUAAUUUCACAUACUCUGGAGACUAAAAUAAGAGUGAUGCAAUUCAAAGGAGGAUGGUGAUGUAAUUGGUUCAAGCUUUGGAGUUCUUCCUUCUUCAACAUACUUAGCAACGACUAACUUAAUUGUGUCGUCAACAUUAGAUCCUAGUUUAACCAUGGCUCGUACUGGUCCUGGGCUCCCUUCAACCGUCACAUUGAUCACUACUUUAGCAUCUUUCUUGUAACCCUACGUUGAAGAACCCCUUUUGAAUAUCAGUGUUUUGUAUGCUAAAA